GUUUGGUCUGUUGUUGUCGAUUGAUUCGUUGUUUACAUGGUUUGGAUCAACAUUUCUUGAAGGGAUACUUUGAUUUGGAUUAUCAAAGCUCUAGGAGUAUCAACUAAAACAUUAUGGAUUGCUGCCGGGUUUGCUUGGUAGACGAAGCUGACGUAUUUCUGUCGCUAUUUUCCAAGUCCGACCAAAUCUCGAUCUCGGAAAUGAUCAAUGAGCUGACCGGAUUGAAGAUUUUGAAAGGCGACGGUCUUCCUCGGUUCAUUUGCAGGAGUGUUCGG